rnacentral:rRNA from 1 species
GAUGAACGCUGGCGGCGUGCCUAAUACAUGCAAGUCGAGCGAACAGAUGAGGAGCUUGCUCCUCUGACGUUAGCGGCGGACGGGUGAGUAACACGUGGAUAACCUACCUAUAUGACUGGGAUAACUUCGGGAAUCCGGAGCUAAUACCGGAGAAUCUAUUGAACCGCAGGGUUCUAUAGUGAAAGUCGGUUUGGCUGUCACUUAUAGAUGGAUCCGCUCUGCAUUGGCUAGUUGGUAAGGUAACGGCCUACCGGGGAGCCGAUGCGUAGCCGACGCGGUAGGGUGGUAGGCCACACUAGAACGUGUACACGGUCCAGACGCCUACGGGAGGGAGCAGUAGGGAAUCUUCCGCAAUGGGCGGAAGCCUGACGGAGCAACGCCGCGUGAGUGAUGAAGGUCUUCGGAUCGUAAAACUCUGUUAUUAGGGAAGAACAAAUGUGUAAGUGACUAUGCACGUCUUGACGGUACCUAAUCAGAAAGCCACGGCUAACUACGUG